rnacentral:rRNA from 1 species
AGCGAACGCUGGCGGCAGGCCUAACACAUGCAAGUCGAGCGGGCGUAGCAAUACGUCAGCGGCAGACGGGAGAGUAACACGUGGGAACGUGCCCUUCAGUUCGGAACAACCAAGGGAAACUUUGGCUAAUACCGGAUACGCCCGUAAGGGGAAAGAUUUAUCGCUGAAGGAUUGGCCCGCGUCUGAUUAGCUAGUUGGUGGGGUAAUGGCCCACCAAGGCGACGAUCAGUAGCUGGUCUGAGAGGAUGAUCAGCCUCACAGGGACUGAGACACGGCCCAGACUCCUACGGGAGGCAGCAGUGGGGAAUAUUGGACAAUGGGCGCAAGCCUGAUCCAGCCAUGCCGCGUGGGUGAUGAAGGCCUUAGGGUUGUAAAGCCCUUUCGGCGGGGAAGAUAAUGACGGUACCCGCAGAAGAAGCCCGGCUAACUUCGUGCCAGCAGCCGCGGUAAUACGAAGGGGGCUAGCGUUGCUCGGAAUCACUGGGCGUAAAGCGCACGUA